rnacentral:rRNA from 1 species
AUUGAACGCUGGCGGCGUGCCUAACACAUGCAAGUCGAGCGGUAACAGGUGUAGCAAUACAUGCUGACGAGCGGCGGACGGGUGAGUAACGCUUGGGAAUCUGCCUGUUAGUGGGGGACAACCCGGGGAAACUCGGGCUAAUACCGCAUACGCACUACGGUGGAAAGCCGGGGACCGGCAAGGCCUGGCGCUAACAGAUGAGCCCAAGUCGGAUUAGCUAGUUGGUAGGGAACGGCCUACCAAGGCGACGAUCCGUAACUGGUCUGAGAGGACGACCAGUCACACCGGAACUGAGACACGGUCCGGACUCCGUACGGGAGGCAGCAGUGGGGAAUAUUGGACAAUGGGCGAAAGCCUGACGCAGCGACGCCGCGUGAGGG